AAAGACAAAUAAGUCAAUGGGACCUGAUGGAAUACACCCAAAGCUAUUAAAAGAGCUUAGUGGUGUACUAGCAAAACCAUUAACAGAUUUAUUUAACCAAUCAUUGUUAACAGGAGUAGUCCCAGAAGAUUGGAAGUUAGCGAAUGUUGUGCCCAUUUACAAGAAAGGUAAUAGGGAGGAGUGGGCAACUAUAGGCCAGUAAGCCUUACUUCAGUAGUGGGGAAAGUGAUGGAAACCAUGUUAAAGGAUAGGAUUGAUGAACAUCUAAAAACACAUGGAUUUCAAGAUCAGAGACAACAUGGGUUUACUUCAGGGAGAUCAUGCCAAACUAAUCUUAUUGAUUUUUUUGAUUGGGUAACUAAAAU